GAGGUGAGGUCAGCAUCUAUACUCUCUCCCUGCUCUACUGUUCUACCCUUCCUAACCAAUGACAUGGACCUUGGCUAAGGCUGAUGAAAGCAUGGGAAGGUUGUUUGCAGUUCAGGGACUCUUCUGUCAAUUCGCGGACCUGGACACAGGAGCUUAAGAUGGUUCAAGUUGCUUCACUCUCUGCUAUCUCUGUUCCAACCUCAGGUAUUAUUCAACUUUUAUAGGAAGAAAAAUGUAAAAACAACUAGGUUCAUUACAUCACCCCCACUUUCUUGUUUAAUGAAGAGAAAACUGUGAAAGUUAAGAAAAUGAUAGCUAUUGUAUAAUUUAAGUGAAAAAAAGAUUUUCUAAAUAUGAUAUCCUGAAGCCAUAAAUAAAAAACAGUAAGAAAUUUAAAUACAUAAAAAAUAAGAACAUAUGUUAAAGACACAUAUAUAGAGAAGUCAAAAAUAAAUGAUAGCUCAAAAAUACU